CACACUGUAAACGAUGAAUGCUAGGUGUAGGGGGUAUCGACCCCUUCUGUGCCGGAGUUAACACAAUAAGCAUUCCGCCUGGGGAGUACGGCCGCAAGGUUGAAACUCAAAGGAAUUGACGGGGGCCCGCACAAGCAGCGGAGCAUGUGGUUUAAUUCGAAGCAACGCGAAGAACCUUACCAGGUCUUGACAUCCAGUAAAAUCUGUAGAGAUACAGUGUGCCUUCGGGCGUACUGAGACAGGUGG
rnacentral:rRNA from 1 species